UACGUAGGGUGCGAGCGUUAAUCGGAAUUACUGGGCGUAAAGCGUGCGCAGGCGGUGAUGUAAGACAGAUGUGAAAUCCCCGGGCUCAACCUGGGAACUGCAUUUGUGACUGCAUAGCUGGAGUACGGCAGAGGGGGAUGGAAUUCCGCGUGUAGCAGUGAAAUGCGUAGAUAUGCGGAGGAACACCGAUGGCGAAGGCAGUCCCCUGGGCCUGUACUGACGCUCAUGCACGAAAGCGUGGGGAGCAAACAGG
rnacentral:rRNA from 1 species